GAUCAUGGCUCAGGACGAACGCUGGCUACAGGCUUAACACAUGCAAGUCGAGGGGCAGCAUUUUAGUUUGCUUGCAAACUAAAGAUGGCGACCGGCGCACGGGUGAGUAACACGUAUCCAACCUGCCGAUAACUCGGGGAUAGCCUUUCGAAAGAAAGAUUAAUAUCCGAUGGUAUAUUAAAACCGCAUGGUUUUACUAUUAAAGAAUUUCGGUUAUCGAUGGGGAUGCGUUCCAUUAGUUUGUUGGCGGGGUAACGGCCC
rnacentral:rRNA from 1 species